CCUACGGGUGGCAGCAGUGGGGAAUAUUGGGCAAUGGGCGCAAGCCUGACCCAGCAACGCCGCGUGAAGGAAGAAGGCUCUCGGGUUGUAAACUUCUUUUAAGGGGGAAGAGCAGAAGACGGUACCCCUUGAAUAAGCCACGGCUAACUACGUGCCAGCAGCCGCGGUAAUACGUAGGUGGCAAGCGGUAUCCGGAUUUAUUGGGUUUAAAGGGUGCGUAGGCUGUGAGGUAAGUCAGCGGUGAAAUGCCCCCGCUCAACGGGGUGAAGUGCCAUUGAUACUGCCUGGCUGGAAUGCGGAUGCGGUAGGAGGAAUGUGUGGUGUAGCGGUGAAAUGCAUAGAUAUCACACAGAACACCGAUUGCGAAGGCAUCUCACGAAUCCGCGAUUGACGCUGAUGCACGAAAGCGUGGGUAUCAAACAGGAUUAGAUACCCCAGUAGUC
rnacentral:rRNA from 1 species